AGGACUUCAGAGCCAGUAUGAACCAACUUUUUGUUCAUGAAAGACUUUGAUUUGGGUCUGCUAUGACUGGAAGCCUGAUUUUCUGUGGAGAAGGAGGGGAGAGGUUAAGACACAAUAAACAACAGUACCUCGCAAAACAACACCAGGGAGUGAGGCACACCCAUCCCCAUGUUGUGUGAGGUGGAGGCUCUAUGAAGGUGAACCCCAAAGGAUUCUGUGUGUGUCCUUUCAUGUCU